rnacentral:rRNA from 1 species
UACGGAGGAUCCAAGCGUUAUCCGGAUUUAUUGGGUUUAAAGGGUGCGUAGGCGGUUCUGUAAGUCAGUGGUGAAAUACUCUAGCUUAACUAGAGGGGUGCCAAUGAUACUGCAGAACUUGAGUACAGAUGAGGUAGGCGGAAUUGACGGUGUAGCGGUGAAAUGCAUAGAUAUCGUCAAGAACACCGAUAGCGAAGGCAGCUUACUGGGCUGUAACUGACGCUGAGGCACGAAAGUGUGGGGAUCAAACAGG